CCCUUAGAUGUCCUGGGCUGCACGCGCGCUACACUGGAAGUUACGGAUUGAGAUACUACCUUGUCCGAAAUGGUCCGGGUAAUCACCUAAAAGCUUGUCAUAAUUGGAAUGGAUUAUUGUAACUAGUAAUCCUGAACGAGGAAUUCCUAGUAAGUCCCAGUCAACAGCUGGUACUGAUUACGUCCCUGCCCUUUGUACACACCGCCCGUCGCUACUACUGAUUGGACGUUUAAGCAAGAUUUUUAUACACUGACAGUGUGUAGUUCACGCUAUACUACAGUGAGAAGAAGAAGAUCGAGCUUACUUGUCUAGAGGAAGUAAAAGUCGUAACA
rnacentral:rRNA from 1 species